rnacentral:rRNA from 1 species
CAGCCGCCGCGGGAAUACGAAGGGUGCAAGCGUUAAUCGGAAUUACUGGGCGUAAAGCGUGCGUAGGCGGUUUGUUAAGUCUGCUGUGAAAUCCCUGGGCUCAACCUGGGACGUGCAGUGGAAACUGGCAAGCUAGAGUGUGAUAGAGGAUGGUGGAAUUCCCGGUGUAGCGGUGAAAUGCGUAGAGAUCGGGAAGAACAUCAGUGGCGAAGGCGGCCAUCUGGAUCAACACUGACGCUGAGGCACGAAAGCGUGGGGAGCAAACAGGAUUAGAUACCCGCGUAGUCCCUGUCUCUUAUAC